UUUCAAAGGUUUCAUAAACUCUAGUUAAGGGCAACCUGUUACCAUUCAUAACCUUUUCUCUCUUCUCUCUGUCUUUCAGUCUGCUGUAAGUGUGAGAGUCCGAUAAGAAGCUGUUCCCAGAAAGCACACGCACCCUGUGGGGCUGGUGAAGGAUGCAGAGCACUGAUACUGUUCAGAGGAAAGAGGUUAUGGUGUCUGUGGUGAACCUCAGAAAUAUAGCAAAACACCACCUACAUAAACACUCGUACAGGACGUGCAUAAGUCUUCACUCCCAUUUGAACUGUUACAUAUUUUGUGUGUUACAACCUGAAAAUAAAAUGGACUUUU